GUAAUUCAAACUCAGUGUUAUUCGAGGAUUGUCGCAAUUUUCCACUGUGCUAUUCGCGACUUCUUGCAAUUCAAGUACCGUGCUAUUCAAGGGAUGCCUGUACACAUAUAUCUGAUUUCUCGCUAGAUUUCUCGAAUGAAGAUCAACCUGUUGUAUUAUUAUUCCUCUCGAUAAGAUAAAGACUCUGUUAUUAAUUAUUCUAGUCAGAUAAACAAAAAAUAUAUAUAUAUAUAUAUAUUAUUUUGUUUUUGCAUAAAGGUAGUGCUAAUCUAAAAGAAAGAUUGACAGAGAAAAAAAAAUGGUAAAAAUGUAAAGUGGUAUAAUAAGAAGGAGAUGAAAUAACCAUUGCCAUUCAGUUGAAUACCAGUAAGCUAGCAGUGAACUAUGAGUCAACAAGAAAUAGAUAAGUUUUCGUGGGAAGUGGAAAAUAAGAAAAUAAAAGAAAAGGAAAAUAAUGAAGUUGAAGAAUUCAAAUUGAUUAUUGACAAGUUAUACGAUAUAAAUCUUGACAGUAAAUAUGUCAAUCGAAAUUAUAAAGAAAUAAAAAAGAAAAUCGAAUAUAUUCUUGAGAAAAAUGUGAAUUCUACGUCAGAUAUUCACAAAAAAUUGUUUUAUUUCUUAUAUUUACCACCUGAUAAUGAUAAAGCAGUUUUGGAGAAACCAGAUUGGUUAGAUAUGGAAAAAUUUGAAAAAGGUCAACAGUUUGCUCGUGAUAACCUAGCUGCAAUAUUUUUAGGACAGUUUUAUGGUUUAAUGAGUUUGCAUUGCGAUCGUGAUGGCUUGCAGACUUUGAUAAUGACACAAAAAUCUCAUACACCUUAUUUAGCCUUCAAAAGGUAUUUAGACACGGCUGAAUGUCUUCGCAAUUGGUUCACGGGAAAUCCUUGGUGUGAAGAUACGAAAUCUCAUAAAGAUAUUCUAAAAGUGAGAAAGAUGCAUUUAAAUGUAAGAAGAAAACUCGAAGAAACCGACAAAAUGAAAAUAAGAGAAAUUUCUACUAUAAAUAACCCUUACUGUCCUUUUUUUCGACCUAUUGUGGAAGAUUUUUCUACGAAGAUGCCUAAAGAUCCGAUCACGGAUUAUUGGUACGAAAAAUAUAGACAAAGUGGUGAUUUACCUACAACCAAACGAAGAAGUAUUAAUCAAAUGGAUUUAAGUUAUACUCUUUUCGGUUUUAUGGGCUUUAUAGUACUUUAUCCCAGUUAUUUUGGAAUUCAUGAGAAUGUCGAUGAGAAUUUGGAAAAUUUUUGUUACCUUUGGAGAUGUCUCGCUUAUCUCUUGGGAGUUAACGACGAAAUUAAUAUGUGUUAUGGUAAUUUGGAAGAGAUAAGAAAGCGCUGUCAAGAUUAUAUCGAUGAAAUGGUCAAGCCUGCUUUACGACGAGUUAACCCAGAAUAUGAACAUAUGAUAAGAUGCAUCAUCCAAGGACAUCGUUACUUUUUAAUAACUCCGAGCUUUGAAACAAUGCUAUUGCUAUUUGCCGAUUUAUUGGAUCUUGAAAUGCCGACUUUUUACUCCUCCUUGACGUUUUAUCAAAGGAUCACAUUCUAUUUUACCAACAUCAGCACUAGUCAAGACAUCAUGUGGACUCCUUGGACAGUGGCAGUGGUUUAGGUUGGUUAAGACCCACAAGACCACAUGUCAAUAGUGCCAUUGAUGUCGCUGGCUUCCUAUCACAGAUUUGUUUACCCGGGCGCUCAGUCUCUGGACCAUUGUACCCGGGCCCCUUGCGGGGAAAAACCUAUGACCAUAGCGGUCCCGCGGGCA
rnacentral:misc_RNA from 1 species